rnacentral:rRNA from 1 species
UACGAAGGGGGCUAGCGUUGCUCGGAAUCACUGGGCGUAAAGCGCACGUAGGCGGCUUUCUAAGUCAGGGGUGAAAUCCUGGAGCUCAACUCCAGAGCUGCCUUUGAUACUGGGAAGCUCGAGUCCGGAAGAGGUGAGUGGAACUCCGAGUGUAGAGGUGAAAUUCGUAGAUAUUCGGAAGAACACCAGUGGCGAAGGCGGCUCACUGGUCCGGUACUGACGCUGAGGUGCGAAAGCGUGGGGAGCAAACAGG